GCUCAAAUUUGAAAUCUGGCUUCGGCCCGAGUUGUAAUUUGCAGAGGAUGUUUAUGGUGCGGUACUUUCCGAGUUCCCUGGAACGGGACGCCACAGAGGGUGAGAGCCCCGUCUGGAUGGAUACCAAACCUGUGUUAAACUCCUUCAACGAGUCGAGUAGUUUGGGAAUGCUGCUCUAAAUGGGAGGUAAAUCUCUUCUAAAGCUAAAUAUAGGCCAGAGACCGAUAGCGCACAAGUAGAGUGAUCGAAAGAUGAAAAGCACCUUGAAAAGGGGGUUAAACAGUACGUGAAAUUGUUGAAAGGGAAGCGUUUAUGACCAGACUUGUGUCGUGUGGCUCAUCCGAGGUUCUCCCCGGUGCACUCCACACGGCUCAGGCCAACAUCGGUUUUUGUCGAAGGAUAAGAAUAGUAGGAACGUAGCUCUUCCUCGGAAGAGUGUUAUAGCCUAGUGUAUACGAUACUUUGAUAGAGACCGAGGACCG
rnacentral:rRNA from 1 species